rnacentral:lncRNA from 1 species
AGGUUUCUUGAUUCCGUCCCUUCUUCUAUAAUUCACAGCUUUUUACUCGUACUGAAUUUGAAAUCUAUCAAUAAUUUUCAAUAAAGGACAAUAAACAGCUACAUGCAUGUAGACAAAUCAAAUCAAUUCAGUUUGCUUUUUUUUUGUGCCUUUUUCUUGUAUCAAAUGACUUUCGUUCUUUGUUUUUCAUUUUGCUUAAAUUUUGUUUAUUUCUUUAAACUUCCUAUGCAGUUAGAAAUUUUCUUUGAAUUUAAAUCUUUUCUCUUUUUUUUAUUUAAUUCUUUCUAGCACCUUUUUUGCUUUAUUUAAAGCUUCUCUCUCUCUCUCUUCUACAUAUCAAUAACACUUUCUACAUCCCCUAC